GUGCGUUGGGACCUAGACAACAAUGUGAUGUUGGACACUAUGAUCACUGAGCUGAGAGACGAGGUGAAGAAAAGGAUCCAGACCAGCAUUGAUCGUGAGCUGAGGAAGAUCCGGGGGCGUGCAGGGCGGGGGGGCGUGCCGCGCCCCCCUAUCCUGUCCCGGGAUUCAACCGUUACAGACCAGAGGAGGCGGAGGUUAAAGGUGGGAGGGGCCAACACCUGAGGUUUCUAAAUCACCUUUAAAGUCACGCAGUAACAAAGUUACUAUUUUAGUUUAACAGCUUUUUAAAAACUUUUAAGUAAGACUUUAUUACAUAAUAUAUUUGAAUUCCAAAUUUAUUGUAAAGUGUAUUGUCAUGUUUUGCAUACAUUCCUAAUAAAGUUUGACUGUGCUUUGAAGGUCAUGAAGGUUCAGUCAGUGAACAAGAGUGACGGGGAGCAGGGUUCGGGAGCGGAUGUUAGUGACCAGCGCAGCGAGGGUGAGGAUGAGUACUGUCCCUGCGACGCCUGCAUACGGAAGAAGGCGGAUGUCCAACAAAUCAAAAUGGAGGCUGUGGUCACCACAGCGCCGGUGAUGGUGGCGUUUGAUCUGCGUAAGAUCCUGCUGAUGAAGAAAGACCCAAAGCCUCUUGCACCCUCUAGCCCCACGGAGGGGGAGAACAAUGAUCGCCUGGAAUUGGAGAAGAAAGAGGAAGAGGAGGGUGUGAAUCUAGAGGUGGUACACAAAGACGAGGAAGAGGAAGAGACCAAGGAGGAUAUUAUACCAACUGUUGUCAUAGAGGAAGCUAUCCCUGAGGAGGAAGAGGAAGGAGUGACUGAGGGAGAGGAGGAAGCACAGGAGAGUGAUGGAGCUGAGUCUGUGAUGGGGGAAGUAGAGGAGCAGAUAGCUGAGGAGAUAGCUGAGGAAAUAGCUGAGGAGAUAGAGGCUGAAGAACAGGAGGAGGAUGGAGUGGUGGAGGGAACAGAGGAUGAGGAGGAGGAUGAAGGAGAGAUGGGAGGUGAAGUUUCAGGAGAAGAUGGCGUGGAGGCAGAGGAGACUGGAGAGGGGGAGGAGUUAGUAGAAGGGGAGGAGGAAGCAGCAGGGGUCGCUGAAGCAGUGCAGGAGGAUCAAACAGGAGGAGAUGAAAACACUGUUGAUGGACCAGCAGAGGUGGAAGAGAUGGGAGAGGGGGAGGAGACGGGUGAGGAGGAGGGAGAGGAGGGAGUAGAGACAGGAGAGGGAACAGCUGAGGAGGACGAAACAGGAGGAGAGGAGGAGGAUGGAGGAGAGGAGACAGAGGAGAACAAUGUGGUGUCUGAAUUCAAGGUGGAAGAAGAGGAGGAAGAGAAUGAAAACACAGCAGGAGAGACAAGUGGAGAGGAGGAGGGAGAGACGGGAGCAGAGGGAGAGACUCUUGAGGAAGGCACAGAGGGCAAUGUGGGGGUAGAGGAUGCUGUGGAGGAGUUGAAUCCUGAAGAAGAGAAUGAAGAGGUGAAAGAGGGAAACAGAGAAAUCCCCCUGAUAAGCCAGAUGACCAGAACCUCUGUGGAGUCCCAACCAGGAUCUAUGGAGAACACAGUUUCACCAAUGCGCUCUUUAACCCCCAUAGAGACCAAGAAAACCGUCUCUGAUGGACACAAGAUGGCGUCUGCAGGUGUGUUGUUAAACAGAAUUACACUCUAGAGCGGUGCUCCCCAAACAGGGCUCAAGUGGAGACCAAUUCCUUCUGGGUCCCAGCCAGAAAUAUGCUUUAGUUUGGAAAGGUUAACCUGAGAGCACACAAUGCUGAGAGCACAAGGUACUGACAUCACAUACAGGUUAACUUGUAUCACUUAGCCAUAAACAUAUACCUCCCUGUGACAAUAGGCAUUGCGGGAAUGUAUUCAAAGUAACAACCAAACUAUAUAUUUAUAUAAUUUAUAAGCAACAAACCAUGUAUGUAUACUUGAUAAGAUUACUGUAGUGUCAUUCGGAAGCUCAGUGUUUGAAGACUGACAUGAGAAUCUCAGGGAAGGAGGGUUGUAUGAACGAUCAUGAUGGGUGUAUGACAGACAACUUCCUUAUGUUUGGUACCCGAAUAGUGCUGAGCGAUUAGUGCUUUUUGAAGUUGGUUCGGUUUCGUUUCGAUUAUUAAAAUAUAAAUCAUGUUUUUUUUCCAUUUCAAUUUCGAUAAUUAAAACAUAUUUUAAAUGCAUUAUGAAAUCAUGUAAUUAAAAGGAUAUAUAUUUUUUUUGUUGCUUUUUAAUAGAAAUUCCAAAGCCUAAACUAGUGAACAUUCAAUUGCCAAAACAUGUAGAAAAUAUUCCAUUGACUCUGUCAGGUCCACAUUGGGUAGACACCAAUAGAACAUAUUGAAAUUACUAUGAAAUAAUACAAUAUUUCAGUUGUGUAUAUUUACUUAGGUUUUAUUUAAUGAUUUUAUUAUUUUUCAUUCUUUAAAGUCAUGGUCUCAUAUCUGUUCAGGCAGUAGCAGCCAGCCAGCCAGCCCAUCUAAUAUUAUAUCUGUACUCCCCAUACUGUACUGUCUUUAGUCAUCCUAUUUAGCUGGCCUGCCUAAGUUUGCCGCAGAGCUGUCUGACAAUCAUUUUACUAGUUCAUCAAAGUAGAUAAGGCAUUCUUUCACCAACUGUCUGUCCCUCUUGUCAUUGUGUUGUGUACAUUGCGGUCUUUGCGGUCUGUGUGUAUCUAACCUAACAGAGCAGGCGUAAACGUGUCUCCGUCACUGUUGGAGCAGGAAAGAACAGGCGCAAUGGAUUAUGGGCAUUGUAGUUCAUUACCACGUUUCUGCACUGAACUAAUAAGUUGAAUAUUUUCUUUAUAGAUGGGUAUAGCUGAUAUCACGAAAACGAUGUGCGCGCUUCCGUGGGCCAGAAGUCAACCUGUUGUUGUGAUUCUGGUGUAUCUGGAUGGCCAGAUUGCUAGCAAGAAUGACAAGAAACUGACGUGUGGGGAUUCUGGAUGUGUCUCGUUUCAGCUCAUUUCGUCUUGUUACUGAUUUCAUGUCAAUGCUAAUUUGGCAAAAAUUCGCUAGCUCACCAACACAUUUAUUUAUGUUUUCAAUAAACAUUGGAUACGAAAAAUGGCUUACAUGUUGUCAACAAUCUAAGCCAACCCUGUCUGUUUUGCCCCACAGUUGCGAACGCCUAGGUUUUGUUGCUAAACAACCAACGUCUAUGAAAACUACAACUCCCUUCAGCCCAGUGUCCCACAUAGUUCUUGACUUUAUUUCUCUUGAAUGAUUUGAUUUCUCUCUAGAGAAACGGUGUGUUGGGCUCACAAUUUAUUUUUUAUUAAAAAAAAAAAUGUAAUUGAACAGACUUAAGUCAAUUAGUUGUUUAAUAAUAAAAAAAAAUAACUACAUUUCGGUUAAUCGCUCAUCACUAGUACCGAACCUUGUUUAAGUGUCUGCUUUCUGUCCAUGGUUGGGCCGUGAAGGUUGUUAUUGUUGUUGAGUUGUCAAGGUAACGCACCCCUGAUCUGCGUCUGUGUUGUUGCGUUUAGUUGUUUUGUCAGGCGACAUGACGCAGGAGCUUCCCAGGUAUUUAACCAUGUGGGACGGUAAUCACUGAAUCUACUCAAGACUUAAACUAAAGCCUUAAAGGUGCUGCGUGGUCAAUCCGACGUCUGCAUUGGCACGGAACAACAUUUACGGUGAUACGGACUCUGCAGGAGUCAGGGCAUUCAUUCUUCUUGCCCUUCGCGGUAGCAGCGCAGAGCUGUUGUCAAGGAAGUUGUCAAGGAAGUGAGUUUGUGUUUAUACAGGACCUCACGCCCCCCCACCUACCGUUAACCAAUCAUGUCAAUGCGGAGCUAUACGGAACCCUACGCAUUGGUGCAGAAUUUGGGAGGUGCACAGCGAUGCGGUAAAGAGCUCCGUUUGGCCUCUGCGCGCCUCCGGAGGCUCUGCAAUCGCGUCACACCGUCCAUUCAGAGCCUCCGACCACAUUUAUUUUCAGAUCAAGCAUAAAUUGGCUUGUACUGCAACCAUGGUGACAAGAGAGAUGAGGGAGAGAGAAGAGAGACACUCUAUCUCUAUCUUUAAUCUCAUUAUUAGCGGUACAGCUGGUAUUGUUGUUGUUGUUGUUGUUGUCGUCGUACUUGACUGAAGGGUUAUCUGGAUGUAUUGAAUAUAUUCAUGGAUAUGUUCAAACAGGAUGGACUUUGACACUUGUAGUUUAGAGAGCGAAGUUCUCAUAUCUAUAUAUCUAUGUUGUAACAUAUCUUUACACAGGGUUGAAACAGAGAUGUGCACUACGAUUCUCUCAGGCUCAGAGUCUAAGGAGUCUGUGUUUUUUUUAAUUUUUAUUUUUGGGUGUCAAUCAUAAAGUCCUAUUGGUUGGUUGGUGGUGCUGUGGGACAUGUCUAUGCUGCUAUUGGUCCGUUCGGCUGUCAAUCUUCUUCUGUGACAUAACCUUGGGAACACCAUGUAAAGUUUCAAAUUAAGAUUCUAAUGUAUUUUAAUGUAUAAUAAUGAAUAAAAUAAAAUAUUUUAAACGAAAAAUACUGUUUAGUUGAAAUUUGUUGCUGCUUAAAGGUACCAUGCGUAAGAUUUCCACUGACUAGAUUUGGAAAAGAUCUAGCUAGAUAAAGACUAACUAUUUUGUGAAGAGGGGAGUGAGGUCCCUUU
rnacentral:lncRNA from 8 species